rnacentral:rRNA from 1 species
CCUACGGGAGACAGCAGUGAGGAAUAUUGGUCAAUGGGCGGGAGCCUGAACCAGCCAAGUCGCGUGAGGGAAGACGGUCCUAUGGAUUGUAAACCUCUUUAGGCGGGGAGCAAUGCCGGGCACGCGUGCCCGGAGGGAGAGUACCCGCAGAAUAAGCAUCGGCUAACUCCGUGCCAGCAGCCGCGGUAAUACGGGGGAUGCGCGCGGUAUCCGGAUUUAUGGGGUUUAAAGGGUGCGUAGGCGGAUUGUUAAGUCAGCGGUAAAAUGUCCGGGCUCAACCCGGGCCGGCCGUUGAAACUGGGGAUCUUGAGUGGGCGAGAAGUAUGCGGAAUGCGUGGUGUAGCGGUGAAAUGCAUAGAUAUCACGCAGAACUCCGAUUGCGAAGGCAGCAUACCGGCGCCCGACUGACGCUGAGGCACGAAAGCGUGGGGAUCGAACAGGAUUAGAUACCCGGGUAGUC